rnacentral:snoRNA from 1 species
CCACUCGGUGAAGAGGAGAUGGUCGAUUACAUCAUCACUGGCUUGGACCAUGAGUUCUUGUCGCUGGUGUUAGCUCUAGUGGCAAGACCGGAACCUAUCUCCAUAGGGGAGCUAUAUGCCCAGAUGCUGACCUUUGAGA